rnacentral:rRNA from 1 species
UGGGGAAUAUUGGACAAUGGGCGCAAGCCUGAUCCAGCCAUGCCGCGUGAGUGAUGAAGGCCCUAGGGUUGUAAAGCUCUUUCAACGGUGAAGAUAAUGACGGUAACCGUAGAAGAAGCCCCGGCUAACUUCGUGCCAGCAGCCGCGGUAAUACGAAGGGGGCUAGCGUUGUUCGGAAUUACUGGGCGUAAAGCGCACGUAGGCGGAUCGGUCAGUUAGGGGUGAAAUCCCAGGGCUCAACCCUGGAACUGCCUUUAAUACUGCCGAUCUGGAGUCCGGAAGAGGUGAGUGGAAUUCCGAGUGUAGAGUUGAAAUUCGUAGAUAUUCGGAGGAACACCAGUGGCGAAGGCGGCUCACUGGUCCGGUACUGACGCUGAGGUGCGAAAGCGUGGGGAGCAAACA